AAUAGAUACCCCGGGUAGUCCACGCCGUAAACGAUGGAUACUAGCUGUAUCAGGGUAUCGACCCCUGAUGUAGCGAAGCUAACGCGUUAAGUAUCCCGCCUGUGGAGUACGGUCGCAAGACUAAAACAUAAAGGAAUUGACGGGGGACCCGCACAAGCGGUGGAGCGUGUUGUUUAAUUCGAUGGUAAGCGAAGAACCUUACCCAGGCUUGACAUCCUUGGAAGCUCUACGAAAGUAGAGUGUGCUUUUAGAGCCAAGUGACAGGUGAUGCAUGGCCGUCGUCAGCUCGUGUCGUGAGAUGUUUGGUUAAGUCCAUCAACGAGCGCAACCCUUGUGAUUAGUUGAAUUUUUCUAAUCAGACUGCCCUGGUAACAGGGAGGAAGGAGGGGAUGAUGUCAGGUCAGUAUUUCCCUUACGUCUGGGGUCUACAAACACGCUACAAUGACCGGUACAAAGGGCAGCCAAGUCGCGAGACGGAGCAAAUCCCGAUCAAGGCCGGUCUCAGUUCGGAUAGCAGGCUGAAACUCGCCUG
rnacentral:rRNA from 1 species